rnacentral:rRNA from 1 species
GACGAACGCUGGCGGCGUGCCUAAUACAUGCAAGUUGAGCGAUGAAGAUUGGUGCUUGCACCAAUUUGAAGAGCAGCGAACGGGUGAGUAACGCGUGGGGAAUCUGCCUUUGAGCGGGGGACAACAUUUGGAAACGAAUGCUAAUACCGCAUAACAACUUUAAACAUAAGUUUUAAGUUUGAAAGAUGCAAUUGCAUCACUCAAAGAUGAUCCCGCGUUGUAUUAGCUAGUUGGUGAGGUAAAGGCUCACCAAGGCGAUGAUACAUAGCCGACCUGAGAGGGUGAUCGGCCACAUUGGGGCUGAGACACGGCCCAAACUCCUACGGGAGGCAGCAGUAGGGAAUCUUCGGCAAUGGACGAAAGUCUGGCCGAGCAACGCCGCGUGAGUGAAGAAGGUUUUCGGAUCGUAAAACUCUGUUGGUAGAGAAGAACGUUGGUGAGAGUGGAAAGCUCAUCAAGUGACGGUAACUACCCAGAAAGGGACGGCUAACUACGUG